GGGAUGUAGAUGAAAAGACCUAAGACCAGGGCUCAAAUCUGUAUUCUGCCAUCUUUGUGACUUAGGUCAAGUCACAUAUAACCGGAGAGCCUUCCUAACUUUAUCCAUAAAAAGAGGGAGUUGGACUGGGUCAAUGCUAAGAAACUCUUUAGCUUUAACUGUAUGAUUCUAACCCACAUUUCCAGGAAAUUAGAAUUGCUCUGCAUCUCUGCUUCACAGAAGGAACAACGAAACCAUUUGAACAAUCUGGGUCUGACACUGAAAAAAGACUUAGGAAGAAAGUCAUAAUAUAAAAGGACAAGAAACUGUUUUAUCCCACAAAGGAACUUUGUAGACCUGGGAGGGCCUUCUACAAGUAACUCAAACUGAAGUUUAAAAAAAGCACAAAAACUUUAAACUUAGGACUGACCGUAAGCUGGCCUUGAAUGGCUCCAAGAUAGCUUGGUCUUUGUUUAUGUAAGUCUUUGUUUCCUUCUGACAGUACCAGGAACCUAACAUUUUCCUAGUUGAAUUUAUUUUUGUAUUCAUUGUCCUUGCAAUGCCAGGUUAAGCUGACAGUUUGGCUUCAUGAAUGAGAGAUUCUUUAUUGACAAUCUUCCUCAUCCCCUUUCUCUGCCUGUUAAGUUUAAUUCAAUUCUACUUUUCCUGACAACCCAGUUCAGAACUUUCUUCUAGGAAAUAUCAGAGAGCUUGGUUUGAACUAAAUGGUUAUACUUGGUCUAUGUUGUCAGAAUAAUCAAUUACAUAAAGACCUAGAGUGGCUUGGAUGAGACAUUUCAUUGGUUCUAGUCCCAGCUCUGCCACUUGUGUGCUGUGUGACUUUUGGGGGAAGAAAGCUAAAUUAUUGCAAAAGAAAUUCUUAGUGCUUUGCUUGCUGUUUCAGUCUUCCUCAUCUCUCUGGGAAACAGACAAAUGAAGUCACAGCUGAAGAAACUAGAGAACAUGGUCUUGCAAUUCCUGUAAUAUUGGCUGCCUCCCAGCAGAAACCUAAGUCUACCCUGAGGUUUAUAUGAGACUUUAUGGUGUAUUUUGCUUAGAUGUAAGAGUUUUUGAUUGGAAUUCUUUUUCACUGUUGUCUAAGGAUAAAUGACUUUAUCAUAUCACAGAGAUAUAUGUUAACAACUGAACCCUCUUAAGAGAAUAUAAUUUAUUAGGGAAAAUAGUGCCAAAUAUAGAGGCACCCUUCAGUUUGACUCCCAAAUUGCAGAUCUAAUUCAUUUAACUGAUUAUUGGAUUUAAUCUAAUUCUUGCAAUUUUUUAUUUUGUUUCAGGAGCCCGGGGACCUUUGAGCUGUAUACAUGUUUUGAAUGAAUCAUCUACUUAAAAUAAAUUUGACAUCAGUAAAUAGCCUUUCUGUGGUUUUCACUAUACCUUUGUCACCACCAUUAUAACUGCCAUGGUAAAUAGACUAAAAGAUUUUUUAUUCUUCUAUAAGUAUGGUUACCAUAAAAAUAAUGAGGUCAAUGAAUCCUAGGGCAAAUAUACAAACCCAGAUUUCUUCUGCUUUUUACGUCAUCUGAAAGUGGUUCAACUUUGUAGUCAUA
rnacentral:lncRNA from 1 species